GACGUAGGGCGCGAGCGUUGUCCGGAUUUAUUGGGCGUAAAGAGCUCGUAGGCGGCUUGUUGCGUCGACCGUGAAAACCCGGGGCUCAACUUCGGGCUUGCGGUCGAUACGGGCGUGCUAGAGUUCGGUAGGGGAGACUGGAAUUCCUGGUGUAGCGGUGAAAUGCGCAGAUAUCAGGAGGAACACCGGUGGCGAAGGCGGGUCUCUGGGCCGAUACUGACGCUGAGGAGCGAAAGCGUGGGGAGCGAACAGG
rnacentral:rRNA from 1 species